UAGCAGCACGUAAAUACUGGAG
rnacentral:miRNA from 13 species